rnacentral:lncRNA from 1 species
AACAACAGUUAACUUGUGGUUUGCCACAGUGAAGAAAAGCUGCUGAUUUAGUGCAGCAUUGAUAACUCGAAGGAGGCUGGUCUCACCAGAGUCCACAAGCACUAUGAUAGUAUCUGCAUAAAGGUGAAUCCAACAUGAUAGCUGAGCAUUUUAUUUAUUCUGAAUCCAAACUAAUGAACGUUCGCAUGAACUAGUUAGUAUGAAAAUAUCUUCAUAUAUAUCUUUAUUGAGCAUUAGUAUCCACAUGCUUUUUGUUGAUUAUCAUAGGAGAGCAUUGAAGUUUUCAAAACACUUAAGAGAUACUUUUAGCUCUGCUUUGCCAUCAUGAAUCUUAGUGUACAAGGAGUAGAGAUACCAGCUCUAUUGAUUAUGUUUUCAAUAUUUCAAAGGUAUGUUUCUUGGUAUAUGUUUCAAGAAUUUAUUACACCAUUAAAUCAGUUAUAACAUACUCCCUCCCUCUAUAUCAAUUUCUAGAACAGGCUCUCAUAAUUAAUUAGUCUGUUCCAAAAAGAAAAAAAUAUUUUUAUAUUUGGAAAAUUUUAACUUUGAACUUUUCAUUUUACCUAUUUUACCUUUAAUAAGAAAUUUUUAUAGCCGCACAAAUGUUACGGCCCCACAAAUCUUUUACCCUUUAAGCUUUUAAAUUCACAAAUUUAAAAUCCUUGUUUUUUUAAAUCUUCGUGUUGAGUUAAACUAGUAAUGUCAUAUUAUAAAUUUAAACGGAGAGAGUAUAAGGUAAUCACAUUUACAAGUAAUCUGUGUGCUAAGCAGUAAGAAUUAUUAGAUACCUGGUAAAGAUGAUAAUCGCCUGUUAUCGCAGGUAAAUUAAACUACAUCAUCAAAAGUUAAAAAGUCUUUACACUAUGUUAAUGACUUAAAUUGGUCAUGUUUCAAAUGUUUCGGAGAUUAGAACAACCUUUACUUGAACACCUGUAGAAGUCACCUGGUUGACCAUUGAUGGUGUAUGCAUCUGAUACAUUAGGUGCUGCACCCGUUCGUGUGGCCUGUCUUACAACAUCAAUAGGGUUUGCAUCCCACCACUCACCUAAUCACAAAAUGUCAAACCAUAAUUUUGAUCUGGAACUACUGCUUGUCUGGUAGUAUUUGUUUUCAAUUCUUUCGCUUAUCUUGGGCAGGAAUGAGUACCUAGCAGAAUGGGGGUCUCUCUUCUGGGCUUAGGAAAUGGGUAGAAUUCUCCUUCUUUUGGGUGGAUGAUUAAAGCUCCGUAUACAGUGGCCCUGAGCCAUGAGCUGUGAGCGUGCCACCAAAGUGUGCCUUCCUGUUCUUGAAUUGUAAAGCGGUAAGUGUAACUCCCUCCUGGUCUAAUUGGGCAUUGUGUUAUAAAUUCUGGUCCAUCUGCCCAUGCUGUUCUUAUUUGCUUAACUCCAUGCCUAUCGAAAUGCAACAAAUUAAAUUGUAAAAACCACACGAAAUAAUAUUGCAUAUGUAUGAUAUCAUUGCGUUCAACAUAUAUAUAUAUAUAUGUAUAUAUAUAUAUUCAUUUUGCAUUAUGACAUGCAUGCUUCUUACCAGUGAAUAGUGACAUUGUAUCGAGCUCUGUUGACUACGUUGACGACUAACGUAUCACCAUUAUUCACUUCCAAUGUUGGUCCAGGGAAUUGUCCAUUCACAGUUAUAGUGUUAUGGGUCUUGCACAGCCUCUUUACUGGUGUUGCUUGAAUCUGUUCCAUAACUACAGAGGUUAGGAUUCUCCAAUUCUAAAAGAAAUUAAAAAUGUUAGCCAGACAAAGAAUUAAGGGAAACAUGAAUGACAUACAACAAAAUCAUGGUACUGAGUUUUCGCAUUUGCAAAGAGAAGUAAAAUGGAGAUGAAGGAAAAAUAGCACAAAAGGUUGGCCAUGCUAUUGAAGGCAUCCAAUAUUAUGGUUCUUUUCUCAACUAAACUGUCACUUAAUGGAAAAUUCAUGCGUAAUGCUUAUUUUUAAAAGAAUAGAGAGAGGGUGGUUUGAGGUUGGCAGAUUAGGUUUUGAUUUAGCAUGAAGGUCAGCUUAAAGGGCAGAACUUAGAAGUUGGUGCACCCACUAUAUUUCAAUUACUGCACCAAUUCAUCAAUGCUUGUUUCAUAAGUCUCUCUUGAGGUUACUAUUUUAUGUUUUCACUUCACAUUGGUUUUCCACCAAAGAGAUGUUUCUUGUUAUGAUUAUACACAACACCACCUAUCUAUCGCAUUAAUUAAAGGAAACUUUUCCUUGUAUCGUUAAUCUUGCUUGCUAGACAACCCAAUCUUGUUUGACUUAAAAAUUUCAGUUAGAAGAACCUAAAACACGACAUGCUUUGAUUUUUUCAACGACAUCAUCUCAAUGAACAACGUCAAAAAGAAAUCCAAAGAUGUUGAACAAAUUGCUCCGGAUUAAGCAUAGUUGGAAUGACUAAUUGAUUCAAACGUCUUAAAAUAGUUUGCUAUCAAACCCAACGCCCGUUUGUGUUUGAACUUUAAUUGAGUUGCCAUCUCCCUAUUUCUAGAAUUGUGCUUUUUCUUCUGUUAUCUUGAAAGCUCGUAUUCAUAGUUUUAGUUACGAAUGCUUGUGAUUUAUGAACUCUUUUAAGUAUAUCUCUGUUUUAGUAGUGAAAAACUGAGAAAUUAUGUAACAAAAAUUAUGUAUGUUAAUUUUUUUUUUUUUUUGGGAAAAAAAAUUAGGACAGCAUCGGUUUUAUGGCUAAUAUCUUGAGGAAGUGGCAAUACAUGCCAGUAUAUUAAUUACAAAAAUCAACAGCCAACAGUCAGAGUUACAUAUUCUACUAAAGCACUUUCCAACAAACACUCUUAGAGCCCGUUUGGACAUAAGAAAUUUAUUCUUUUUUUCGAAAAAAUUUCAUUUUUUUUUAAUUCAGUAUUUGAGUUGUUUUUGAAUUUCACUCAGAUCACUCACAAAAUUUUAAGAAAAAAUUUCACUUUUUUGAAAUUUUACAAUUCUUAUGUCCAAAGAACAAUGAAUAAGUAUCAUCAUAAUUUUGGGUAGAAGGAAGAAGCAGAAGUGUCCAUCUUUUGAAACUUGAGCAGCAGAGUGACUCUGUCAAAGAAAAGCAACAGAUGGCCUUAAAGCACAAAUCUUGAUGUCAUAAUUAGUUGUACAAGCUGAGAGCCCAUCCCAGUUAGUUGACUUCACAUUAAUAUUUUUCCUGGCAAGAGAGGUAGCACUUGUAUUAUUAUUAGUAUGAGCAAUACCAAUGUAACUACUACAAUUGCGACACAAAAGUUUAGUAUGUUGUUUAAAGAAACCCCACGAGUUUUUGGACCUAAAAUAAGGUGAGCAUCUAAGUUUAUUUAUCUGAAUAAAUCUGCUCUCAUCAAUGCAUAAAAAUG